rnacentral:rRNA from 1 species
AUUGAACGCUGGCGGCAGGCCUAACACAUGCAAGUCGAACGAGUGGCGGACGGGUGAGUAAUGUCUGGGAAACUGCCUGGUGGAGGGGGCUAACUACUGGAAACGGUAGCUAAUACCGCAUACCAUCGGAUGUGCCCAGCUGGGAUUAGCUAGUGGGGGGGGUAAAGGCUCACCUAGGCGACGAUCCCUAGCUGGUCUGAGAGGAUGACCAGCCACACUGGGACUGAGACACGGUCCAGACGCCUACGGGAGGCAGCAGUGGGGAAUAUUGGACAAUGGGCGAAAGCCUGAUCCAGCCAUGCCGCGUGUGUGAAGAAGGUCUUCGGAUUGUAAAGCACUUUAAGUUGGGAGGCGUUACCAACAGAAUAAGCACCGGCUAACUUCGUGCCAGCCGCCGCGGUAAUUC